CCCGCAACGAGCUCAACCCUUGUUCACUGUUGCCAGCACGUUAUGGUGGGGACUCAGUGGAGACCGCCGGGGUCAACUCGGAGGAAGGUGGGGAUGACGUCAAGUCAUCAUGCCCCUUAUGUCCAGGGCUUCACGCAUGCUACAAUGGCUGGUACAGAGAGUGGCGAGCCUGUGAGGGUGAGCGAAUCUCGGAAAGCCGGUCUCAGUUCGGAUUGGGGUCUGCAACUCGACCUCAUGAAGUUGGAGUCGCUAGUAAUCGCAGAUCAGCAACGCUGCGGUGAAUACGUUCCCGGGGCUUGUACACACCGCCCGUCAAGUCAUGAAAGUUGGUAACACCCGAAGCCGGUGGCCUAACCGUUGUGGGGGAGCCGUCGAAGGUGGGACUGGUGAUUAGGACUAAGUCGUAACAAGGUAGCCGUACCGGAAGGUGCGGCUGGA
rnacentral:rRNA from 1 species